rnacentral:rRNA from 1 species
GUGAGGAAUUUUCCGCAAUGGGCGCAAGCCUGAUCCAGCAAUGCCGCGUGCAGGAAGAAGGCCUUCGGGUUGUAAACUGCUUUUGUCAGGGAAGAAAUCUUCUGGGCUAAUGCCCCGGGAGGAUGACGGUACCUGAAGAAUAAGCACCGGCUAACUACGUGCCAGCAGCCGCGGUAAUACGUAGGGUGCGAGCGUUAAUCGGAAUUACUGGGCGUAAAGCGUGCGCAGGCGGCUUUGCAAGACAGAUGUGAAAUCCCCGGGCUCAACCUGGGAACUGCAUUUGUGACUGCAAGGCUAGAGUACGGCAGAGGGGGAUGGAAUUCCGCGUGUAGCAGUGAAAUGCGUAGAUAUGCGGAGGAACACCAAUGGCGAAGGCAAUCCCCUGGGCCUGUACUGACGCUCAUGCACGAAAGCGUGGGGAGCAAACAGGAUUAGAUACCCCGGUAGUCC